rnacentral:rRNA from 1 species
CCUACGGGGAGCAGCAGUGGGGAAUAUUGGACAAUGGGCGAAAGCCUGAUCCAACCAUGCCGCGUGUGUGAAGAAGGCCUUCGGGUUGUAAAGCACUUUCAGUGGGGAAGAAAGCCUUGGGGCUAAUACCCUCGAGGAAGGACAUCACCCACAGAAGAAGCACCGGCUAACUCCGUGCCAGCAGCCGCGGUAAUACGGAGGGUGCGAGCGUUAAUCGGAAUUACUGGGCGUAAAGCGCGCGUAGGCGGUCUGAUAAGCCGGUUGUGAAAGCCCCGGGCUCAACCUGGGAACGGCAUCCGGAACUGUCAGGCUAGAGUGCAGGAGAGGAAGGUAGAAUUCCCGGUGUAGCGGUGAAAUGCGUAGAGAUCGGGAGGAAUACCAGUGGCGAAGGCGGCCUUCUGGACUGACACUGACGCUGAGGUGCGAAAGCGUGGGUAGCAAACAGGAUUAGAUACCCCAGUAGUC